UUCACAGAGAAAGAAACUCUCACAACUUUCACAACUUCCUUUCUCCCUGCAGGUAAGAUGAGGAACUAGGAAACCAUCCAAACCCCCUCCCUCCCUUUUGGCAGAGGGCUUCUGGAUGGCAUUUUAAAGAGUCUGUUUGCUGACAACAAUAAAAACCAACUUGGAGGUAUAUCUGCAAAACUGGUAAAACAAGAAAGGCAAGUCCCUUGGCUUUUCUGGGCCUGGCGGCCUUGGACGGCACCAAAGACAGACAAGCCCGGAACUUUCAGCAGGUCAUGUUGAAGCAGGUUUCAGCCUCAACUGCACCUGCACACGGCACCGGUGGGCUGCGGACAGUGAGGGACCUGAGCCCGGCACGGUUAAGUCACUUGUCCAAAGUCACAGACCUGGGACCUGAACCCAGACCAAGCAGACCUCAGAGCACCACACCGCCUCCUCCCUGCUCCCAGGUGCUCCGAAACUGACCCCGACGUGCGCGUCUGUGUGUGCACAGAGAUGCCUCUCCUGCUGGAAGUGGACUCUCGGGUCAGCCUCCCCACCCCCUCUCUCCUGGGGUCCGCCCACCCCCCCGCCGUCCCUCUCAGCUCGUCCUCCGCUCCCCGCUCCAGAAGUACACUUAGGCCCUGCAUCCCUGCCCUCCCCGGUGAAGCAGAAGCUGUGUCCCUGCGUGGUGGCCACGGCACACAAUAGCCACUGCUCCCAGGGCCCGGCUCCUGCUGACCACAGCGGCCUCGUGACCCGCAUAGCGCACUGUCAGGAGAACGCGAAACAAAAAGCCUUUCUCCCUGCCACCGGGGCAGGACUGCUCAGAAACUGCACAAGAGCUCUUUUCAGAGCCGAGGAGGCCAGAUAACAUUUUUCUGCGUCUCUGAAAUGCAUGCUCAAUGACCUGUGUCACUGGGACAGGCCGGUAAACCGCCCAUGCGUGGUUGGCAAUGACUGGUUCCGGAGCCCGGGUCUGUGCGUUCUCCCAUGGAAGGUUCUCCUCGACUCGGCCCGUAGCGGGGAAAGCGAUCACACGCGGACCGAGCGCUCAGUUGGCACGUAUGAUGCCUCCCCACGUCGCGCGGCCCCCAGGGCCGGUCUUCCUACGUUCUCCUUUAUCAGAGAAACUGGGGCCCCAUCCCCUCCCCAUAUUCUCCGCCAUCUUGGUGGUAUGGGUGCCUCUAGAACCAUGCGUCGGGUCAAUCGGCACCACCAGUGGGUGGAUAGAAAGUGGGACUGGAGGGAAGUUUCCACCGUCGGGCCACUCAUUCGUGCCACGCAUGCUGGGCACAGGGGGCACAGGGCGGGGGGGAGGGGGGACCCAGGUGACCAGGUCCCUGCCCUCUCAGAGCUCAAGUCCAAGGGGGAGAUGGGUGGUAAAUAGAAUGACACGUGGAACCACAAGCACCGUGAAACGGACUCGGAAAAAAAGUAAAAGGAAAAAAUACGACUUUAUGAGCAAAAA